GUGGAUAUGGUGUCAGUAAAUAUAUGAUGACACCACUCUCACAUCCAACCACUGCUGCAGAGCGGUUGUACAAUGAGUCGCAAAUACGUACUAGAAACUGUAUAGAAAGAUGUUUUGGCGUAUGGAAGCGUCGAUUUCCAGUGCUAUCAAUUGGAAUAAGACUUUCUCAGGACACGACCAUGGCGGUUAUUAUCGCCUGUGGAAUUUUGCAUAAUAUAGCUCGGCAGAACAAAGAUGCAGACCCGCCUGAAGAAGAACACUGUAACGUUGGAGAUCCCAAUGAAAAUUUAAUGGAGGCGUAUGAUCCUAUACCCGAAACACAGGGCGGUGCUUUUAUGAGGUCGAGCUUAAUAAGAGAUUAUUUUGGAAGAUUAUAAUGAUAUAUAUGUUGGAACCAUUAUCCGCAAUCUGUAAUUGGGAACGCUAAAUCUGCAUGUUUCAAUAAUAAAAGGUUUGCUCAGAAAAUAAUUUUCUCGCUCCCUGUUGACAAAAUAGGCUCCCUUAGCAAGGCACUGUGUGUGGUGCGUGUAAGAGUGCAACCUUUCGUAAGGGAGUGUCAAAUCUCUAAUUCCACUAGUGAGUAAACUUUUCAUAAUUGUAUCAUGGGGUCGAAGCACAUUUGCCCAUCGGUAUUAACUAAUCCUCGAUUGUAUUUGUCUAACAACAAUAAAAAAACUCCGCAAGUGUGAAUACCUACAUCGAUAACAGUGCAGUAUUCGGUUUCCAGACUCUCCUAAUAAACCGAAGCAUACAUAAGUGAGGACAACCAUGGAGUCCAAUACUCACGCCAUCUAUAAAAUUGUAGCAUUUUGUAAAGUAUGCUAACAUGUAAACUGAAUUUAAAUUCGUUCAGUUUUACAGAUAGACGACCAGUUGGCAACGUUAACGAUUCAACCGACCGAGUACGCAAAGCAAUAGGAACGCGGAU